AGCACCAAUGAUGACGAGGAGGAAAAGACCCAUCCAGGACCAAACAGGAAAUCAUGAACAUCACAACUGACUCUGCUUGAUGGUGGGAAACACAAGCAAGGAUGUUGAAGACAGCAAGGUGUGCUGUCCAAGAGAAGAUUCGGCAGCUGAAGACAGGACCACGGUGGGUACCGGAGAGAAGAUGAAGAAAAGGAGCAAGGAGCAAAGAUAGUUACGACAAAUGACCCACUUUCGUCACCCAAGCGAGACCAUCAGGACAAAGGCAAAUGAGAUGUCAAAUAGCCUGACCAGCUAUGGAAUGACUCUGCUAGCAGGGCAGAAUCUCCAGGAAUUAUGCAUCUUUUUGACUGGAUGGAGCCAUCACCAAUUCAACACUGAAGAAAAGAAAGCACCAGUGAUGAUGAGGAGGAAAAGACCCAGCCAGGCCCAAGCAGGAGUUCAUGAGCAUAAAACUGACGCUGCUUGUUGUUGGGAAACACAAGUGAGGAUGUUAAAUUGAGCAAGGUGUGCCGUCCAAGAGAAGAUUCGGCAUCUUAAGACGGGCCCGCGAUGGGUUCCGGAGAUUGGACGAAGACGGGCCCUCGGUGGAUGCCAGAGGUCGGACAGAAGUUGAAGAGGAGCAAGUGCCAAUAGUAGUUACGACAAAUGCAGAACACUACAUCUGAAAGCCAAGGUAUCACUGGUAAUGAAGCCAAUCCUUGUCACAGGACAGAACCCAUACCCAAUUCAACACAGGACAAAAUGAGGAAGGAACAUACAGGGGAGGAACAGCAGCAUCAGAACCCUACCAUGGAUUGUCACUGGGAAAGCCAAGGCAUCACAACUGACCAGAAGUAGCUGGAGCUAAUGGCGAUUGAAAAUCAAGCUGGACUCCUUUGCAGUGUCAUUGGAUUCACCAUAAGGGCAAAGCAAGAAGAAAGAUGUCAAACAGCCUGACCAGCUCGGAGAGGAUUCUGCUGGCAAGAUAGAAUCUCUGGGAAUGACGCAUCUUUUUACCAAUGAACGGAGCCCUCACCAAUUCAACCAGUCAAAAGAAAGCAAAUGCUAAGCAAUAACAAAUAAAGAAAAUUUUAUAUUGGCAUAUAUUGGAGUUGAUAUACAUUAAAGCAAUCGAAUUGAUAUCUUGUCUCAUGUUAUUAUUAGUUAUGGGAAAGAAAGUAGACCAACAAUCUUUGUGGAGCAGCCAUUGUGAUGCAGUCUGUUGUGGUUUAUAAGGUGCGUGUUGCUGGUGCAAUGUGGUUCAAGAACCUGAUGGUUGACGGGGAGAUACUGCUCUUGAACUUUGAAAGACCAGUAUCUGACAUAUUAUUUGCUGACAUAGCCUUCGCGUGAAGUUCAGACCAGCAUUUUAUCUUCAGGUUGGGUAGAAAGUUUGUGGUAUUUAGCCACAAUGCAAGUGUGAUGUGAACAUAACAUGUUGUAUUGAUUAAUCCAUAUAAUGAUAGGGGAUGGAUGCAAUAUCUCUCCAAUAGCUAUAUCUCUCCAAUUGAUUGUUUGGGUUCUGCAAUGUGGUUUGAGCUUGACAAAAAGUUGUUUUAAACCUGGAGGGGAUAGUUCUCUGGUUCCUGUAUUAUCUUUCUGAUGAUAGCAGCCGAAGGGCCUGUUUUUGCGCUGUAUCUCUAAACUAAACUAAUUCACUGAUUCUCUUGUGCCCUUGCCUCUGUCUCUGUCUCCGAUUUCACCAACGGAUACGGAGGACCUCCACUCCCAGUAACCUUCCUCCUCAACCCUCCUUCUAUGCUGUCUUGGGCAAGCACAAGUCACCAGUCGUCUAUAUUGAUGGACCCAUGCUCUCAGAUCUUGGCUAUCAUGGACUUUCUGUGGACCAAUGAGCUUAACCUGGGAAAUCUGCACACUGACAGUUACCGUCUUGCCCGAGGAGAUCCAGAGCAUCUGCAAUGUUCCAUCGCUCAUUCCAACAAAGCCUCUGCUGGGUUCGAUCCAGAGUAUGAGGCACUGCCCUAACCAUUAGAGAUGGAUGCCAUGUUGAAAAUAACCAAGUAUUCAGAAAGGAAUGGAUGGAUCCUGCUUGUUACUGCUCCCUCCAGCAAGAUGGCGGUGAUACACUUCAUCCUCCAGAUCACCACAACAGCAGUCUGCAGUACCAUCGGGCAGCUCAUUAUGAUGAUGGUAGCUGGAAUCACCAGGACAAUGAUCCAGACUUCCAAUUUGUACAUUGACAUAAUUGAAACCGCCUUAUUGGGUUAAAGCACAUAAUGGAUAUAGAUGAAGGAAAUAAUAUGAGCCACUGAAUUUCAUCAUCGCCAAAAAAGCAUACCAUCGUUUCUACUUCCUCAGAAGACAAAGAUAUUUGACAUUAAUUUAAAGACUUUUACCAACUUCUACAGUUGAACUGUAGAAAACGUACCUCUGGGUUGUAUCACAGCUUGGUUUGGGAACAGCUUUGCCUAAGACCACAAGAAAUUGCAGAGUUGUGGAUCACUCCAGCACACACCGGACUUCCCACUGUGAGAAAAGGGUUAAAAGGGAUGGUUGCUUUGUACUAGAACUUUGAAAAAUAUAACUUAAAAAGAAAUGAGCUGUCCGCAGAAGCCAGACUGCUGGUAGAAUAAAGUAACAAUGUACAUGAAGAGGGUAAUUCUAGAUAAAGAAAGUAACAGAUAAAAACUCCAGCAGAAGCCUUUUGACGUCAGGAGAUGUUCCGAGACGUUCCUGGACAUUCUCGUGGGAAUGUGGGCUUUAUGUUAUGAUUGGACGAAGCUUGAUGGGUAGACAUGAGGUAGUGACCAUAGUGAAGAAAGGUAUAAAAGAUAGAUACAAUCUCCAUUUUUGUGUGCCUCUAGGGGACAUCAGAGGAGAGGCACCUAUUCUGCAGAAUAUGAAAUUAAUAAAAACACUUCUUUGCCUGAAUUUGUCUCAAGAGCAUUUGUGAUUUUUGAAUCUCACACCACCAUUGACUACAUCUACACUUCACUCCCUUGGGAAAGCAGCCAACAUAAUCAAAGACCUUUUCCACCCUUGUAAUUUCCACUUUUCCCUGCUUCCACCACAAAGAGGAUAUAAAAACUUGAAAGGGCGUACCUUCAGACUCGGGUGCAGCUUCUUCCCGUUAUUUGAAUUCUGAACGGUCCUUCCUGAAGCUACGAUACAUUUCCUAAUUUCCAACCAACAUCAUUGUGGCCAUUGGACUUUUUCCUCAGAUUAUGCUACAAUGUUGAAAAACUAUGCUGCACUAUGCAUGUUUCUCCUCUCUAUCUAUUGUGCUUGUGCAUGGUUUGAUUGUAUGUACGGUAUCACCUGAUUUAAUUGCAUAGCGUGCAAACAAAAGCUUUUCACUGUAUCUCAGUGUACACAACAAUAAAGCAAUUUAAACUUGUUUUUGUGUGCCACUGUAGAUGACUUUGCAUUGCCAUAUUAUAUUCCUUCUGUUAUGUUCUGGCCCACACAUUCAGCUUGUUUCUAUCCCUUUAAAACCUAUUUACAUCCUUCUCACUGCUCAAACAUUUCCCAAGUUUUGUAUCAUCAGUAAAAUUGGAAAUGUGAUAUUUGGCUGCCUCAUCCAACUAGUUGAAGACUGAAUAAUCAGGGUUCCUGUGUUACCCACCUAUCUAUUCCCAAUCCCUGGUUUCUGCCUGUCAGCCAAUUCUCAGUAGCCAGCAGUAUACUGCACUAAUCACAUACCUUCUGAAGUUCUAAAUGUACCACUGCCAUUGUCCAUUUUCCAACCAUUUCCUCAAAUAUCUUCAAAAAAAUUAACACCAUGCAGUUUUCUGGAUUAAACUCCAUUGACUAUUGCUCGGACCAUUUGCCCAACUGAUUUAGAUCUUGCUGUAAUUUUUGAUAACAAUUUUAACUGUCUGAUACCACACACAUUAUUGUCAUCUGCAAACUCCCAGUCCCAAAAGACCACUCCAUUACAACUUGCCUUCUUAAUUAGUCAAUUUUGAUCACUUUAGCAAAACUACGGCUGCCUUGAAAUUCCUUGGGAAAGCUGACAUUUGUACUGUUUCAUUCCAUAACUUGGAAUACAAUUCAAUUUGCGAUUUACUUUCUAGUUCAUCAGACACCAUCUCCACCUCCCAAAAUAUUUAAGGAAAUUGGGCCAUUGUUUUGUGAUAAAUGGGGAAUGCUAUUAGCAUCAUCGAAACUGCACAUUAUUAGUCUGAGGUUGUGACUGUCAUGAGGAAUAGGAGUAGAAUGAGGCUGUUCGGCCCAUCAAUUCUACUCCGCCAUUAAAUCAUGGCUGAUCUAUCUCCCUCCUAACCCCAUUCUGCCUUCUCCCCAUAACCUCUGACACCUGUACUAAUCAAGUAUCUAUCUGUGCCUUAAAAAUAUCCACACACGGCCUCCACAGCUUUCUGGGACAAAGAAUUCCACAGAUUCACCACC